GGAUGGGUGCCCGAGUGGCCGAAGGGGGUAGUCUUGAAAACUACUGUACGUUAACGCGUACCCUGGGUUCGAAUCCCAGCCCAUCCG
rnacentral:tRNA from 1 species